rnacentral:rRNA from 1 species
GACGAACGCUGGCGGCGUGCUUAACACAUGCAAGUCGAACGGAAAGGCCCUGCUUUUGUGGGGUGCUCGAGUGGCGAACGGGUGAGUAACACGUGAGUAACCUGCCCUUGACUUUGGGAUAACUUCAGGAAACUGGGGCUAAUACCGGAUAGGAGCUCCUGCUGCAUGGUGGGGGUUGGAAAGUUUCGGCGGUUGGGGAUGGACUCGCGGCUUAUCAGCUUGUUGGUGGGGUAGUGGCUUACCAAGGCUUUGACGGGUAGCCGGCCUGAGAGGGUGACCGGCAACAUUGGGACUAGGAUACGGCCCAGACUCCUACGGGAGGCAGCAGUGGGGAAUAUUGCACAAUGGGCGGAAGCCUGAUGCAGAAACGCCGCGUGCGGGAUGACGGCUUUCGGGUUGUAAACCGCUUUAGCCUGUGACGAAGCGUGAGUGACGGUAAUGGGUAAAGAAGCACCGGCUAACUACGUG